GAAUGGAGCUCAUCUGCUCAGGUCCAUAGAGAGCCCUGUCAGCCACACCAGGGGUGACAAAGCAAUGUUUAACCUAAUUUCAGCCAAUAUGCAGCAAUGUUUGUAAUAACCAGCUGUCAGAGAAGCAGAAUAACACACAGGAAAACAGAGAGGAGGGAAACACAGGAGGAGGAGGAAGGAGAAGCAGACCAAGUGCUGCCUUGGGCCCAGGUACAAAGGAAGAAGUGAUCCUCACAAGCCUGUCUUGGUGGCAGUGUGGAAUUCACAAUCCAAGCUUCAGACUGGGAGACUGAAGAACAUUUCAGUACCCAGGAACUUUUCCCUGUACAAGUGCCUGUAAAGAACUCCAAGCUUCCAAGUCACCCUUCCUUCCCCAGUUACCCAGUGUCCAUAAAACCUGCAGUUAUCCAGUUUCAGAUGUGUAAAUGCUCUUAAUCUCAAAUGAAAUUAGCACCAUAAAGAGCCAGGGGCCUGGGAAUUGCUUCAACAAAAGUCAAUCCAUUAUGUUCAUCCACACUUUUAUCAAUCAAAGCCUCAGUCUCAAAGAAUAAAACUAAU